CCUACGGGGGGCAGCAGUAGGGAAUCUUCCACAAUGGGCGAAAGCCUGAUGGAGCAACGCCGCGUGGGUGAAGAAGGUCUUCGGAUCGUAAAACCCUGUUGUUAGAGAAGAAAGUGCGUGAGAGUAACUGUUCACGUUUCGACGGUAUCUAACCAGAAAGCCACGGCUAACUACGUGCCAGCAGCCGCGGUAAUACGUAGGUGGCAAGCGUUAUCCGGAUUUAUUGGGCGUAAAGGGAACGCAGGCGGUCUUUUAAGUCUGAUGUGAAAGCCUUCGGCUUAACCGGAGUAGUGCAUUGGAAACUGGGAGACAUGAGUGCAGAAGAGGAGAGUGGAACUCGAUGUGUAGCGGUGAAAUGCGUAGAUAUAUGGAAGAACACCAGUGGCGAAAGCGGCUGUCUGGUCUGUGACUGACGCUGAGGUUCGAGAGCGUGGGUAGCAAGCAGGAUUAGAUACACUUGUAGUA
rnacentral:rRNA from 1 species